CCACCACUUGCUUUGAUUCUUGAAAAAGUGAAAAAUAUCGUAUGGGUCCAAAGACCAAAAUAGUUUCAAAGACCCCACAAACUUUAUCAGCAAUUCAAUAAAAGAUCACGACUUUCAGACCAAACAUCAUCAAUCGUUCCCCUAGAAGAACAGUUGUCGGGGGUAAAUUUGUCUUUAUGCAAAAGUUACAAGAUCUUUAUUUUUCUUAAGAUAUUUUUCCAAUAAAUUAUCAAAGAUAUAAUCAUUUUCAGAUUUGUAUAUCUCUAAUCGAAAAUCGGAAAAAGCUUACCGCAGCUUCCCUGAUCUUUGACGGCGGCGACGGCACCUUCUUUUCUCCAGUCAACGGAAGCAGGAAGCGCGUCGCCAACACGCGGCUCAUAUCGAUCGCUGGUUUUGAGAACUCUCUUCUUCGGUUUAGCACCGAGGUAGAUAGAUCGGUACUCAUCGUUGGUUAGAUCAGCGAACCGGGUUAAACCGAGUUUGUAACUGAGGUUUUUGUUGUUGUGUUCGUCGAUGAAACGAAGAUUGUCUUUGAAGAUCUCGAAUCUCUGAUCCGUGACAAGACCGUUGUUCUGCGUCAUCAUCUUCUUCUUUCCGUGUUUCUCCAUCCACUCCUCGUAGAUUUUUGAAACCUCGGCGUCGCUCCGGCCGUUGACGGCGGAGAUGUGGCGCUUCUCGUCGUAUGAGAUGAUCGACAUGUCGACAGCGUACGAAACGCCGAUCAUCAUCGCUAGGAGAAGGAUGGUUACAUUUACGAAGCCCAUUUUUUGAUAUUUAACAGAGAAAGAAGAAGACGAUUGGAUGAUUGAUAAGAGAUUGAUGAGGGUGUAUAUAAAGGAGAAUUUCAGUCGAGCGUCAUAAUUAAAUAUUAUUUACUUUUGUCUCACUUUUCGAAAUAUACUUUAAAGACAAUUAAAGAAAACCGGCUAAAAUUAUAAACAAAAGAAAUUGAAUACUUCUCAAAAUUUUAAAAUAUUGCAUCUAGAACAAAAACUAGUGAACAGAGUUAUUGCUCUUUUUAAUAAUUCCGUUCUCGGAAUUAUAUAUUUUUUACAUAUAACAAAAUCUCACUUUUCAAAACUUGAAAUUUUACUGAAUCUUCUGAAGUAUGUAAAAAGGAGAACUGAAUUUUAAAAAUACACUACAUCUCGAUCCUUUUGUUUUUAUUUAUUUUUAUAUAAACAUUUUGUUUUCAAUUCUAAAUUGGUAUAUAUUAUAAUAUAUAUAUGUUUAUCAAUUUUUAAAACAUAAUAAGUUUACACUAUAUUUUUUUCAUUGAAUAGAUUGUUUUAAACUUUCACAUGUAUUUGUAUCUUUUUCUAUAUAUAUAUAUAUUUUCGGAUUAUUAUUUCAAUAUUAAAAUCGUAACAAUAUAUAUAAAGAUUCAUAAAAUAUUGUUUUAAUAUCAUAUUCAAAAAUAUUGUAAUAUUUCACAAAUUUAGAAAGUUUUAAAAAAUUAAACUUUUCGCUUCAUAGAUUUAUAUUAUCGAGUAAAUAAUUAAACUUUUAGUUUUUGUUUAAUUUUUUAAAUAAACUGUAUAGUUUAAAAUUUGUUUUCAUUGGUUUAAGGUAGUAAAUAUUAAUAAUUGUUAGAUAAUAUGAUUUUUGUUAUUUAACUCCAUGGUCUAACUCCGUUCCACAGGUUCCAUCAAAUACACCCUGAAGUGAAAAAAGGCAAAUAAAAAUCUUAGCAUCUUGAAAUAUAUUUGCAAGUGUUUACUACGAAUAUAGCGUAACCAUUCUUUAAAUAUGUGAGAACGUGAAUAAAUAAAUAAAUGUUCUGAAUGGUAAACCAUUAAUCAUUAACGUUCCAUUGAUUCUUCUCAUGCUAACUAGUUACAAGUUCGGCUAUUUCAUACCGAAGAAUAGAGCUGGAAGGCACGACCACCAGCUUCAAUGGCAACACUAAUAGGCUGAUUAGCCAAAGCUUUCUUAAGAGCCGCCUCGUUGUUCUCCGGCACAUCCUCAUAACCGUCAAUUUUGACAACCUUUGCGUUUUUCUGCAAAACACGAGAAACAGAGGUGUUAAACCCAUUUCUAUUUGAUAUUAAUACCAAAAAACCUAAACCAACACACACUAGUUAACUUAACCCUGUUCUGAUCACAACGGCCAUCCGCAGCUUUGUAUGGAUAAUCCUCUUCAGUAUCAAUACCACCAUUUUUAAUAAUGAACUCAAACGCAUAGUCCAUCAAACCUCCAUUACAGCCUUGGUUGUAAGAUGUGUCACAAUCUACUAGUUCUUGUUCAGACAAAGAGAUUAAGUCUCCUGUCACAAUCUUGUUUAUUCCUUCCACAGCUCCAAUGGUUGAAAAUGCCCAACAACUCCCUAAAAACACGAGUUAAUUAAAUCAAAUUAGCCCCACCACUUGCUUUGAUUCUUGAAAAAGUGAAAAAUAUCGUAUGGGUCCAAAGACCAAAAUAGUUUCAAAGACCCCACAAACUUUAUCAGCAAUUCAAUAAAAGAUCACGACUUUCAGACCAAACAUCAUCAAUCGUUCCCCUAGAAGAACAGUUGUCGGGGGUAAAUUUGUCUUUAUGCAAAAGUUACAAGAUCUUUAUUUUUCUUAAGAUAUUUUUCCAAUAAAUUAUCAAAGAUAUAAUCAUUUUCAGAUUUGUAUAUCUCUAAUCGAAAAUCGGAAAAAGCUUACCGCAGCUUCCCUGAUCUUUGACGGCGGCGACGGCACCUUCUUUUCUCCAGUCAACGGAAGCAGGAAGCGCGUCGCCAACACGCGGCUCAUAUCGAUCGCUGGUUUUGAGAACUCUCUUCUUCGGUUUAGCACCGAGGUAGAUAGAUCGGUACUCAUCGUUGGUUAGAUCAGCGAACCGGGUUAAACCGAGUUUGUAACUGAGGUUUUUGUUGUUGUGUUCGUCGAUGAAACGAAGAUUGUCUUUGAAGAUCUCGAAUCUCUGAUCCGUGACAAGACCGUUGUUCUGCGUCAUCAUCUUCUUCUUUCCGUGUUUCUCCAUCCACUCCUCGUAGAUUUUUGAAACCUCGGCGUC
rnacentral:lncRNA from 1 species